rnacentral:snRNA from 25 species
AUCGCCAGGAGAUCAAUUCCAACGAACAUGGUUCUUGCCUUUUCCCAGAACCAUCCGGGAAUUGUCUCCCGUUAGUCAAAUGGUGUAUCAAUUAUCUAAUUUUUGGAAUAUUUAUCAUUUAGUUU